CCAAACAGGCUCAAAACGAUGCAGCUAAACUCGCAUUUCAUUAUUUCACUCAACCCUUUAACCCGAACCUGAAUCCGAACCUGAACCUGAACCCGAACCCACCUCUUUCUCUUCUUCACCUUUCUUCGUUUCCCGGUUGUUCUUUUCCUCAACCCUCUCUUUCUCUUUCCCCGACUUCAACAACAACAUCGACUACGACAAAUCAGAAAAAAUGUAUGCAUCGACAGUGUAAUGUAAAAUGUGUUGUUUUAUACGAUGUCAGUAUAUUAUUUACUAUUUAUGUUUAAUUAUCAGUGUUUCUUUUUUAAAAAGUAAUAUAAAUGAAUGGUAAAGGAUGCAUUGAAUGUGUAUAAUCUUUAUACGCUGACAGUGCAUAGAUAUUGCAUUAUUUAUUUUAUGAUACCACUACAGUUUAGGUUUUAGAGGGGUCAGACUCGGCGCAAUAGUAAGGUUGUUUGUCGGGAGGUGAAACAGUCUCUUUAGGAUAAGGUUGUUUGUCGGGAGAUUGAUUUAUUUGAAAGAUUGGUGUUGAUUUGCGUUUCCAUUCUAAUGCGUAGCGAAAAUAACUGAAAAGGGAAAACAAUCAACAUAUACUAUAUUCCGAUUUCUAACAUGGUGUUGAUUCUUUUUAUAGAUCCGAAACUUGCUAUCAAAUUGCUUUGUCCAUCAAGGAUGAAGUAGAAGAUCUUGAAAAGGCUGGAAUCACUGUUAUCCAAAUCGACGAGGCUGCCUUGAGAGAGGGGUUACCAUUGAGGAAGUCCGAGCAAGCUCACUACUUGGACUGGGCUGUCCACUCAUUCAGGAUCACCAAUGUUGGUGUGCAUGAUUCCACUCAGGUAUUUCGAGAUCAUUACAAAUCAACAUUCAAGAAAAUUGUUCUAUAUUUAAGUCGAAAACUCGAAAUACAUAACAAACUUGCAUAUUUGAUGUUGUAUUAACAAUUUAACAGAUCCACACCCACAUGUGCUACUCUAACUUCAAUGACAUUAUCCACUCGAUCAUUGAUAUGGACGCUGACGUGAUCACCAUCGAGAACUCUCGUUCGGAUGAAAAGCUCUUAUCAGUCUUUCGAGAAGGAGUUAAGUAUGGAGCAGGAAUUGGCCCUGGUGUCUAUGACAUUCACUCACCUAGAAUACCCUCGGCCGAAGAAAUGGCCGAGAGAAUCAACAAAAUGCUUGCAGUUCUUGAGACUAACAUUCUAUGGGUCAAUCCCGAUUGCGGGCUCAAAACUCGCAAGUACACGGAAGUGAAGCCAGCGCUCGAAAACAUGGUUGCGGCUACGAAAGUUAUCCGCAACCAGUUGGGAAAGUAAAUGACAUAAAAGACUAGAAGUUUAUCAGCAAUAAACAUGGUUCUGCUUGAUUUUACAAGGAACAUGGUUGCAAUAACUGUGUUGAAUAUCAACAAUAAACAUGGUUGCAAUAACUGUGUGUUGAAUCUUAUAUUUUGUAUUUUGGUGCCAUUGCCUCAAUCAUAAUUGAUAUGUAAAUGCAAUUUAUGAUUUUAUGCAAAUAACCAUGAGUAUCUUAAAUCAUUCAAUUCUCUUUCCUUCAAUUCCAUGUGAUUAGUUGUAUGAUACUAUAAUCCAUAUCGAAAGCAUUGAUAACUAAAAUGAUAAUUUAACAUUAUUAGAGAUUAAGUUGGUAAAGUCGAUAAAACAUGGUGAGUAAAAUAUAUAUUUACUCUAAAAAUAAUUGUUUAACCUAACAUUGCUCACAAGUUUCCUACCCAUAUUGUUUUUUUUAAGUAAGAAAGGAUUGUUAUUUUUCGAAAAAGCUUUGUGAAUGUCCCAUCUACGUUAUAAAAAAAAGAAUGUCUGAAAAUCAUUUUUAUUAUGAGAUACACAUUAUAUGAAUAUAGCAAAUAACCUAUUAUACUCUUUACAAAUUUUUAAUCAUUAUUUACUCUUCAAAAAAAAUUAUUAUACACAUUUUUAAUAAUUAUUUACUCUUAAAAAUAAAAAUGAAUAACAAAUAAUCUAUUAAUUAUGUAUAAAUUUUUAUACUGACAAUGUAUAAAUAUUAUACUUUGUAAUUAUAAAAAUGGAAUGUUUUAUUAUAAUUAAUUUUGUAAUUUCUAAAUGAUAUGUCACCAAGUCAAUGUUUUGUUAUAGUUAAUUCUUGCUCGAACACCAACAUAUGUUACUUCAAGUGGUACAUGUUUGAUUCCACUUAAACAAAGUUUCGAGUUCGAGUCUCGUGGAUAAAAAAAUACUCACUAAAAAAGUUAGCAUCACGUACCUAUAAAUAUUCCCGACUCAGAUAAGAUUAUCUUUAGUGCGAGAUACACGUGGAAAACAAAAAAAAUAUUGUCAAACUAAUAUUAUAUAUACCAUUUAUAAUAUAUGAUUCUGAUAACAAUUAAGCAUAAUAUUCUGAUUCCACGAAGACAGUAAGUGGUACUAGUAGUGGUAUAAUAUCCAGAAGCAAGUAAGAGAAGAAGGAAAUAAAAUCAUAAAAUCAUAAAAUCAUAAAAUAAUCAAGAAUGUACAAAACGAAGAUUCAACAACUAUGCCAUAGCAGAUCAUGGAACUUACCUGAUUAUGAAACAAUCAGAGAUGGACCUGAUCAUAACCCUCGUUUCAUUUCCACCGUCACCGUUAACGGCCUUCACUUUCACUCUCCCGAACCUACCCGAACCUCCAAACAGGCUCAAAACGAUGCAGCUAAACUCGCAUUUCAUUAUUUCACUCAACCCUUUAACCCGAACCUGAAUCCGAACCUGAACCUGAACCCGAACCCACCUCUUUCUCUUCUUCACCUUUCUUCGUUUCCCGGUUGUUCUUUUCCUCAACCCUCUCUUUCUCUUUCCCCGACUUCAACAACAACAUCGACUACGAC
rnacentral:lncRNA from 1 species